rnacentral:rRNA from 1 species
AUGCUGCAAACACGGCCUGCGAUCUUCAAUCCAAUACUUUGUGGAGCACGCCUACUGCAGCAAUGGGCGGUUGACAUGUACAUCAAGAUUGAGAGCUGUCAGUUGAGGUGGUACAGGAAGAACCAGACGCAGAUCCGUGCCGAUUUGUAUAAAGGAGUUGUUGAUGCGAUCACAUCGGGUGAGACGCGAGCAAGCGCUGUUGGGGUAAGAAUAGUGCUCCCUGGAACUUACCCUGGUGGCGACCGCGACAUGAAGAAGAGACAUAUGGAUGCCAUGGCAAUUGUCCAUACAUACGGGAAGCCUGACAUCUUCUUGACCAUGACUUGCAACCCUAAAUGGGAAGAGAUAACAAAUGAGUUGCUUCCUGGACAGACGGCGCAAGACCGACCUGAUAUUGUGGCUCGCGUGUUCUAUGGCAAACUAGAGGCUAUGAAAGAUAUGUUGCUCAAGAAGAUGGUCCUGGGUGUUGUUGUUGCUUAUGUUUACGUAGUUGAGUUCCAGAAGAGAGGCCUCCCCCACGCACAUUUUUUGUUGAUCAUGGAUUCAACGUAUAAGCUUCUUGUCCCAGAGCAGUAUGACCGACUCAUUUCCGCAGAGCUCCCAGACAAGCAAAAGUAUCCUGAAUUGUAUGCAAUGGUGGUAAAACAUAUGAUGCACGGACCAUGCGGUGCUCUCAACCCGAAGAAUGUUUGCAUGCAAGAUAAUGAAUGCAAGUGCAGAUACCCGCGGCCGUUCAAUGAGAACACGAUACAAGGCAAGGACUCAUACCCAGUUUAUCGACGUAGAGACGAUGGUAGACACGCUAAGGUUCGAGGGAAAAUGUUGGACAACCGAUGGGUUGUGCCAUAUAACCCUUACCUUCUGCGGAUGUUUAAUUGCCACAUCAACGUCGAGGUCUGCUCUAGCAUAAAGGCUAUAAAAUACAUUUAUAAGUACAUUUAUAAGGGCCAUGAUAAGGCUUCUUUCAGCAUCGACCAGCCAGACGCUGAUGGUAACAUUGAUGAGAUCAAGAGAUACGUUGACGCAAGAUGGGUCACCCCUCCGGAGGCUAUGUGGAGGAUAUUUGGCUUCCCACUGUGUGCCAAUUACCCGCCUGUCUUGCAGUUGCCUCUUCAUCUCCCGAAUAUGCACAGGGUUGCAUUCAAUGCACAGGCUGACUUGAAGAAUGUUGUAUCCUCCGAGAAUGCUUCAAAAUCCAUGUUAACGGAGUAUUUCAAGGCA